rnacentral:lncRNA from 1 species
CAGACUUCGCUGACCUCCCAAACCUCCUCCAGCUGUGAGUUCUCAAUCUCAACUAGUCAACUGUUGGUCAAAAUGAUCGGUGCCAUAAGCUUCAGCUGUUAAGAGCAACGGAGUCAUAAUACAUAUAGGAAUAAUAUCAUAAAGAAUUACAUUCAAAAAUAUAAUAGCAUAAAGAAAGAAAACGUAAACGUGUUGUUUCCGUGCUGCAGAGAUCUAAGCAGGAGCUUGUUUCACGGUGGAGUGCCUGACCAGUGGGCCCGGAUGAAGUUACAAGGACUGUGAGUGCCCUUGCACUUUACCUGCCCAUUGUCUGCUUGACUGGUUGACUGGUAGUAGAACAAAAUGUAGUGUGUGGAGCCUAAUCAUGCAGACUCAGGGAAAGAUUCGUGCCACUGGGUAGUGAUUUUCCUGCACUUUGUCAAGCCACAGUCAUUGUCUCGUCUGUGGUGUAGGGUAUAGGGUGUCGGCAAGGAAUAUCUAAGAUAGAAACAAAUUAGACCACUCCCAAGCACAAUUUCCCCCAUCAGGAUGCUCUGAUAGAUUAGGUGGCUUUUGUCCCAUAUCAAAAGCCAACUUUGUGAAUACUAGUCAUCAUCUGUGCACUUAUACCUACCUUUUCAGUAGUUCAUAUAUUGUUUAGGUUCAACACAAGAAAAAAAAUUAGCAGUGACCAACACCUACUAGCAUAAAUUAAUAUAUUGUUAGAUUAGUGAAUUCUUGUUCAUCUGACUAUAAUAUCCAUGGCCCGCAUUUUAAUAAAUUCAUUCUGUACAAUAAACAGAAUCACACAUAGCAUGUUGUUCAUCUGUUGAUGCGAAAGCCAUGCAGGUCACUGAUGGCGAACAGAUUGUCAGGGCCUUUUCCCAUGGUUCUCACAAAGAUCACAACCCUGACUAACUUGUAAGAGCCUGAAAGAAACUAGUAUUUCUGUUAAUUACUUCAUGAGUUCCCUUUCCAAUUUAUGGCUGGCAAACUAACUUGCAGGAGCAUUGAAAGCAAUGAGUUCUAUGGGCCAAUACCUCCUGAAAUUGGACAUCUAGUUCGAAUAGAGAAGCUGUGAGUGUAUUUAUCUUAAAAUGCCCACAGAGAAGAUGUGAUUAUUGGUCAAUGUAGUUUCUGAUGACUUACAUUCUCAUCCUGUAACUUAGAAUAUUAUCAACCAAUGAGUUCACUGGACCCCUUCCAACUGCUCUUUCGAUAUUCAGUAAUUUAACUGAUUUGUAAGACCACUACAUCUAUAUUCUUUUCCCACUUCGUUUCACUUUGAGUCUUUUGUAAAUUUUAACUAUUGAAACUGGCAACAGGAGGAUUUCUAGCACCAAUUUUUCCGGAAGGAUGCCUGAUUUUUGGGGAAAAUUGAAAAGGCUUGAAAAAUUGUGAGUCAGUGAAUUUAUGAAGAAACAAAUCUUAUACCCGCAGAAAUCACAUGCUCAUACCUUCUUUAUGUAAUGUAAGUAUGUAACUCCUCUUGGUGCAGGCAAAUCGAAGGAUCUUUGUUGGAAGGGCCAAUUCCCUCGAGUGUAUCUGAAUUGACAAACCUUUCUGAUCUGUAUGUCAGCAAAAAUGCUUGAAAUUAUUGUUCUCAUAAUUUUACAUAUAUAUAAUGACAAUCACUUACUGGGUAGUCCUUACUGCUCCACCAUAAAAAAAGAUAUUAUUAGUUUUCACUAAAUCCUGUUUGCGUUUCUGCGUGAAACAGGAGGAUUAGUGACCUGGGAGGUAGUGGUUCAUCUUUCCCUGAUUUAAGUGGAAUGACAUCCAUGAACAAAUUGUAAGUUUGUGGUUUACUGAAGUUCAAGCUUGCCAUAUGCUGUCUGCCAUAUCUCAUAUGAUACUCAAAUGUAGGGUACUAAGGAACUGUUCCAUCAGUGGAAGCAUACCUCCUUACAUUGGCACAUGGACAACUCUUAAGCAUCUGUAAUAAAUCACAAUUUAUGUAAGUGCUAGAAUGUUUUUAUUAUUCACAUAUUUUAUUAUAACAUUGUCUGUGCAGGGAUCUCAGCUUUAAUAAACUGAGUGGAGAAAUACCACCUUCUUUUGCUAGCAU